rnacentral:rRNA from 1 species
UACGAGGGGGGCGAGCGUUAUUCGGAAUCACUGGGCGUAAAGCGUGCGUAGGCUGUCUAGCAAGUUGGAAGUGAAAGCCCGGGGCUUAACCCCGGAAUUGCUUUCAAAACUGCAAGACUCGAAUUCGGGAGAGGAUAGCGGAAUUCCCAGUGUAGUAGUGAAAUACGUAGAUAUUGGGAGGAACACCAGUGGCGCAAGCGGCUAUCUGGACCGACAUUGACGCUGAGGCACGAAAGCGUGGGGAUCAAACAGG